rnacentral:rRNA from 1 species
AUGAACGCUGGCGGCGUGCCUAAUACAUGCAAGUCGAGCGAACGGACGAGAAGCUUGCUUCUCUGAUGUUAGCGGCGGACGGGUGAGUAACACGUGGAUAACCUACCUAUAAGACUGGGAUAACUUCGGGAAACCGUAGCUAAUACCGGAUAAUAUUUUGAACCGCAUGGUUCAAAAGUGAAAGACGGUCUUGCUGUCACUUAUAGAUGGAUCCGCGCUGCAUUAGCUAGUUGGUAAGGUAACGGCUUACCAAGGCAACGAUGCAUAGCCGACCUGAGAGGGUGAUCGGCCACACUGGAACUGAGACACGGUACAGACUCCUACGGGAGGCAGCAGUAGGGAAUCUUCCGCAAUGGGCGAAAGCCUGACGGAGCAACGCCGCGUGAGUGAUGAAGGUCUUCGGAUCGUAAAACUCUGUUAUUAGGGAAGAACAUAUGUGUAAGUAACUGUGCACAUCUUGACGGUACCUAAUCAGAAAGCCACGGCUAACUACGUG